UACGUAACAGAACAAUAAAUCCUCCGUACAAUCAUUUCCUCCCCCAAUGAAAACAUUAAUUUUUGUAAACUCCAUUAAUGAUUACUCUAACCCUUUACUUAAUUCAUCUCCAAAUUUUCCCUUCCGUUUUCCUUCCCUUUCCCGGGAAUAUAAAAUAUUCCAAACAAAAUGGCUUCACUAUCCCAAAACCCUGUAUUUCUCUCCAAUCAGAGCUUCAUCAUUACCUGAAUUACCGAGUUAUGGCGGGUGGGAUGAUUUGGGACUGGUUGGUGACUCAGUCAGUUCGGGUGAGUCAACUCCGUUGCGUAAUUUUUUGGUUUCAAUCGGAGUUAAUGAUAAAAAACACAUUUUUUUGUUUCUUUCGGGACUUGUGUGUGCGUUAGCUAUUUCUAGGGUUAGGGUUUCUACAAUAAUUGUGUUUCCGGCUUCGGUUUUGGUUUUUGCUAUUGGGUUUUCAGUUGGGUUUGUUCGUGGUGGGAGUUUAAGUGAAGUUAGUGGUAGUAAGAGGAGGUCAAAAGAGGAAAAUUUCAGGGUUUAUAGUGAGAAAUUCAAGAGUUUAUUGGAUAUUUUUGAUGGGUUAAAUGGGAAUAUUAAUAACUUGAAGAAGGACAUACAAAGAGCUAUUGAUUGUAAUAAGAUUACAAUUAGUGAUUUGGAAAAUUAUUUCAAUGCAGUGGAAUCCAUGAAUUUAUCAGCUUCAAAUGCUAGAAAUGCCACUGAGGCUUAUAUUAUAAAUCCAGGGAAUUCUAAUGAUGUGUUAGUUGAGAACCAAAAAUCAAGUAAAAAGAAGAAAGAGAUUGGUAAAGUUGGGUUUGACUGGUUGCAGUUUAUCGAGGGUAUAUUUGGAGAAAAAGCGGUUAAUUCAAAGCCUAACAAAGUAAAAGAUAAGGGAAAGCAAGGGACUCCGGAGGGUGUGAUGAAUGAUCAAAAUCAAGGAAAUAAUUUAAGUCCUGGAGAUGAAAUAAGGUUUCAUGAUUCUAUUAACAAUAAUAAAGGAAUAAGUAAUUCAAGUUUUUUUCGAGAUUCUUUAAAUAAGUAUGCUUUAGAUCAAGAUUGGGAUAGAAGAAAAAAGGUGGAUGUGCAAGAUGAAAAAGUGAGUUCGGGGGAGGUGAAUACAAAUGCCAACAGAGUUUUUGAGAGUGAGGAUUUUAGUUACCAGAAUAACAGAUUGCUGUUCAAUAAUCAUCGUGUUUCCUUAAAUAUGGGUAGUACUAAUGAAACUAAAGCUUGGGAAUCAGGUGAUAAUUUGCUUGACUCAGUGGAUUUUAGAGUGAGUUGGAAACAUAUGGAAAGUGAAGCUUCCUUUGUACAAGAGCGAAUACUCAGGAAAUCUAGUGGAGCUUAUAGGUCUUCUGAUGACACAGAGAAGUAUGAGAAUGUUAUUUAUAGACCCCGGUUAAUAGAAGAGGGGGUGAAUCCCAGAGAUGAUUCCCAUCUUGCUGAUCACCUGUCUGCUCAUCGGAGUGUGGUUAAUUCCUCUUCGUCUUCUGUGUUUACAGAUGAUGUUGCAUUCAAUAGGUAUCUUACGGAAGCUAAUGGUCUUUUGAAACAAGCCAAAGAGUGUAUAAGGAGCAGUCUGGAUGACGAGCAUGUGGAGAUGAUAUUAUGCAAGUCUGCCAAGUUACUCUCAAAAGCCAUAGUUUUGAAGCCCAUGAGUCUAUUGGCUGUGGGCCAGUUGGGCAACACUUAUCUCCUUCAUGGAGAAUUAAAACUAUGGAUCAGUCGUGAGCUGAGAAGUCUCCUUUCAAGAAGUAAUGUCGUAUCUGUUGAGAAACAGAAAAGAGUACUCAAGGGGCUAGAUUAUCAGUUAGCUGGUAAAGACAGAAUUGCCUCUCUUCUUGUUGAUGCGUGUGAAGAGUGUGAAGAACUCCUUGUGAAGGCUGGCAAAAAAUAUAGGUUGGCAUUGUCAAUUGAUGGUAAUGAUGUGAAAGCCUUAUAUAAUUGGGGCCUUGCUCUCUCCUUCCGUGCGCAGCUAGUUGCCGAUAUUGGACCGGAAGCAGCUUUUGAUGCUGACAAAAUAUUCUUGGCUGCAAUUGAGAAAUUUGAUGCUAUGAUGUCGAAAGGCAAUGUUUAUGCGUCUGAUGCUCUGUUCAGAUGGGCUGUGGUGUUGCAACAAAGAUCUCGCUUACGGCCAAGAAAUAGUAAAGAGAAGGUGAAAUUGCUGCAGCAAGCUAAGAGACUAUACGAAGAUGCGCUACAUAUGGACUGCGACAAUCUUCAAGCAAGAGAUGCCUUGUUAUCAUAAUAACUGUAGACAGAAACAACUUCACUGAUCUACCCUCAUCCUUUAUUUUAGAAGAAUAAGGUGAAUCCCGAAUCUCGAGUCUCUACAUCAAGUUUGUGUUCAAAGUGAUCUGAUAUCAAUAUCUAAUUGUUGUUGAUGAGGAAAUAAUGUGAUGAACAAUUAUUGAUUAGUGUCCAUGUCACAAUAGUUGAGAUACAAACUUGAGAAAUAUAUAGUAUUACUCAUUAAUU